GCUUGUCUCAAAGAUUAAGCCAUGCAUGUCUAAGUAUAAACUGCUUAUACUGUGAAACUGCGAAUGGCUCAUUACAUCAGUUAUAAUUUAUUUGAUGGUACCUACUACUCGGAUAACCGUAGUUAUUCUAGAGCUAAUACGUGCGUAAAUCCCGAAUCCUGGAAGGGACGUAUUUAUUAGAUUUAAGGCCAGCCGAGCUUGCUCGUCUCUUGGUGAAUCAUGAUAACUUCACGAAUCGCAUGGCCUCGCGCCGGCGAUAUUUCAUUCAAAUUUCUGCCCUAUCAAUUGGCGAUGGUAGGAUAGAGGCCUACCAUGGUGUUAACGGGUGACGGGGGAUUAGGGUUCGAUUCCGGAGAGGCAGCCUGAGAAACGGCUACCACAUCCAAGGAAGGCAGCAGG
rnacentral:rRNA from 1 species